UGUCGCCCAGGCUGGAGUGCAACAGUGCGAUCUUGGCUCACCGCAACCUCCGCCUUCCGGGUUCAAGUGAUUCUCCUGCCUCAGCCUCCUGAGUAGCUGGGAUUAUAGGCAUGCACCACCAUGCCCACCUAAUUUUCGUAUUUUUAGUAGAGACGGGGUUUCUCCAUGUUGGUCAGGCUGGUCUCAAACUCCUAACCUCAGGUGAUCCGCCCACCUCAGCAGAUUACUUUUUUAUAAUUUUAUUUCUCUGGUCUGAUUCAUUCUUUAAGGAGCUAUCCCACAGUUUCUGAACAGGGAACUAGAGGAUUUGGGACCAGGAGCAAGAUUAAGUGCAGUGGGGGAAGGGAGGGAGAGAAGAGUUGCCUGGAGCUCACUGCAAUGAGGGUUUCAAAUGCAACAGGGCAAUAGGGCAGGUGUGAGGCAUCUGAGCCCAGAGUGAGCCAAGAAUAAGCACAGCAGGGAAGGGAGGGAGGAAAGACUGCUACUCCCACUUGCACACACUCCCAGUAUGGUCUCCCGGAGAGACAGCUGUGACCCUUGCCAGGUACCACAUCCUUGUAUUAGGUUCUUCUUGGCCUCUUAGAGCAGGACUGUGUGAGAAUCCUGACUGCACAAGAAACUAAGGUUAGGUAAAUUAGAGACAGCCCAAUGUGGAGUCCUGGGGGUGGGUGGCUGGCACAAGGCCCUGGACUCCUUCCCUGCAGGAGCCAGGCAGCCUUUCUUCCUUCCACGGUCACAGAAGGUGCUGUGCUCAACUGCCUGGCAGAAGGUCUGGUUGGAAUGUGCUUGGAAGUUUCUCACCAGUGUGGAAGUUCCUUGAAUGUAGAGGAAGUUCCCCCCAGCACCGCGUUUUCAGGCCUCAUGAGUGUCCAGUAAACACUGACGAAGCUGAGGAGCAGCGGAAGACAGCAGAGAGGUGAGUGCGGAAUUUGUGGGAUGCAGAUGGCUGCACAGUGCAGCCUCAGUCAGAACACAGGACAUUAGCUUCAUAGGGAAUUUUCUACCCUGGUAGUCAGGAUUUUGCUCCUGACCAAGAAAACAACAAAAAGAAAACCAUACAAUAGAACUUAUGGAUGAACUGACACACUCCACCACCCGUACUUCAUCUGAAUAUGUUUAUUAGCCUCACAUCUUCCUUGAGUCCUGGGCUAUCCUCCUGUUCCUCCUCCCCAUGCCCUCCCUGCGGGCUGCUCCCAG
rnacentral:lncRNA from 1 species